CUCGCCGGCGCCGGGAGAGACCUCGUAACGGAACUGGGACGCCAGCGCUGCAUUGUGGGAGCUUUUAAAGCGGCGGGGAGCUCGGCGCGACCCUCGGGCCCACCGGGCCACGCUCGCCCGGCCCGCGACGCCCCCCCGCUGUCGCCUGGCCCGCGACGCACCGAGGCCUGAGGACCCGAAAGCCGGGCGCGGGGAGAUGACCGGUGGCUCGUGACGGUCCCACGGGCAAAAUCUUCCAUCGCCCGGGGCUGAGACUUGUCAAACUGCCCUCUACGGUCACCCGGAAAGUAGGAGGCUUUUUCUGCAGAGGGGAAAAAAAUCAAAAAGAGCCGUUCCAUCCCCCCUCCAAGGACUGGGUUUGAAUUGCUUUUCAUCUGCAGUGGCUGUGAUUCAGCGUCCCUCUUAGCAGCAGGCAAUGACAGAGGCAGGAGAGGGGAAAAAAAAAAAGAAAGAAAGAAAAAACACAGCAAAUGAAUCAAACGGACCAGGUAGCAGGCAAGAGUGUGGUUAUCGUUGGACCAGGAUUCAGGAUCUGACUGAGUAGCUGACUCUUAAUCCAGUUUGUGUUGAUCACCAGGAGGAUCUGGACCUCAGUAUUACCACAUCUAGAGCUAUAAUCACAUCCCUGUUAAGCCUUCCUGAGAUCACACCAAAUGUCCUUGAUGGGAAUUGUAAACAACCCUUACUUCUGGUUUCUAAUGAUAUUCCAGGAAAGGAGCCUAACUAGAGUCAGUGAUAUGCCAACUCCACCUUUGCCUUCCACCAUGUUUGGAAGCUCCCUGAGGCCUCACCAGGAGCAGAUGCUCGUCCCAUGCUUCCUAUAAGCCUGCAGAACUGCUGGCCAGGGGCAGUGGUUCAUGCCUGUAAACCCAGCACUUUGGGAGGCAAAGGCAGGAGGAUUGCUUAAGCCCAGGAAUUUGAGAUCAGCCUGGACAACAUGGUGAGACCCCCAUCUCUACAAAAAUUUUUUUUAAAAGUUACCCAGGCAUGGUGUUGCACAUCUGUGUUCCCAGCUACUGGGGAGGCUGAGACGGGAGGAUCACUUGAGUCCAGGAAGUUGAGAGGUUGAGGCUGCUGUGAGCUGUGAUUGUGCCACUGCACUUUAGCCUGGACAACAGAGGGAGACCCUGUCAACAACAACAACAACAACAAAAAAGCAAAACAUCAUAGGCUGCAGAAAUAAACUUUCUUGUCAAUUGUGUCUUUAACCAUGACCAUUUUGAGUCAUUUCCACAGUGAGUUGCCUAAUUUUGAUGCAUUUCUGAAAACUCUUUAUAAGCAAGUAAAAUCCUAGAGAAUUGUGCCUUCAAGGAGACUCAUGGAAAGGAUGGAAAGAACUCUUGAAUACAUGUUUCUGAUAGCUUUAUGAUCAUAUCAUUUGGACUGGGUAAGAAUUCCCAGAACUCAUGAAGAGACUGACUAUUUAUUAAUCCAAGCAGGAAAAGAAUUAAUUGAAUACCAAGGAAAUACUGUGCCAGAGAUUUUCAUGCUAAAUCAGUCAGCACCGAAAUCGUUAAGAUGUGUAGUUUGAAUGAACUCCAUGAUCCUAGUCAAAUUUCCUAUGAUGACCCAUUUAAUAAACAGUGCUAUGCACCUGAAUUGGAGAAACAGAAUUGAUACUUAAAUCCAAUGUUAAUCAUAGAUUCAUGGAAAGCCUAAAUGGCUGCUUGGGUCUUCCUGAGCCCUUAAAGCUUCCAUUAUUAAAGGCUCUGCACUUUAUAAGUUAUCACUGAAGAGAGAAAAUGAUCCAGAUUUAAAAUACACAUAUUGGUGUGGUGAAUGUUCUAAAUUGCGAAAAUGGUUUAUGACCAACAUUUGGUUUGUCAUGCUCACAAUCCUGGAAAUACAUUCAAAACUUCAGGUACAUUUCUGCUACCUGAUGGGCUAUUUGAAUAUAUAGAGAGGGAUUUCAUUCAAUUGCCAUUUUCAUUGCAUGUUUUUUGGUUGUAUAGAAGCUUUCCCAUGCAAGGAGGCUGAUGCUGUUAUUACAGUAGCUAAAAGGUUAGUAGGAAAUGUGUUUUCCCCCAUGGGGCAUUCCUGGAGAAAUCUCUAGCAAUAAAGGUACUUGUUUGACUGGACAAGUUGUAAAACAGUUUAAUAAGGUUUUUUUUAGGUGUCAUAGCAUUAGGCAAAGCUAACUGAAUUGACUGGAUUGUCAUAGUCAAACAUAUUGCAGAUCCGCUUCCAAUAGAAGACAAUGAAAUAGUCACUGGAAAGCCUGUGCUCCUAAUUUUAGAACCUCAUGUAUCUUCUGCUCCUAAACUCUGAUAGGACUAAAUGCUGUGAGGCCUCAAUGCAUUAUGUUAAUGUGUAUUUUCACCAGGUCAAGGAAGCUUUUCCUGAUCCACUAACUAAGGACAAUCAAACCCUUCAUGAUCUAGAAUCUGGAGACUGUGUCUUCUGGGAAUAGUAUCAGAGAAAGACUGCCCUUACUGCCCACAUGUAGCAAAACUUUGAGACGUUGAAUUAUGGGUCCAUAAUCUCACAACUCAGAGGGGCACCUCUAGACUCUUGGAACUGUAUAUCUAUUGGAGACUUUAAGGUAAAGCUGAACAGAGAGACGUUUUUCUCCAGAAGCAGACAGCACCAUAGUCAUGGACAGCUUUCCCAAGAUCACAGAUCAAGACUUCUCUGCCGUCAUGAGACUCAUAACCUCUUAAUUUUUUCUUGCUUAUGCUUCUGUGAACAAUAGAAUUGGAAAAGGGGUGGUCCCGCGUGCACCCAUAGGGUAUACUUUUAUUUGUGGAGGAUUUUGCUGCCAACCUUAUACAUGGGCAAACUUAUGCCUUCAUGGAUGGAAGAUAAAGGGCUAAUAUGGGUUAGAAAUUUUAAUGGUACCUUUGUUUCUCCAUAAUCAUUCAGAAACAGAACACUGGUCCACUCUUGUUAACCUACAUCAUAGGUUGAAGAGAACAUUGCCAGGAGGCCUUCAUCCUUCCAGAUGGGCACCAUUUGUUGGGUCUUUUUCCGUGGUAUGAAGAAAAUGAAGCAAUGAUUAGAAAUUGGUCCCUCGGCCGGGCACAAUGGCUCAUGCCUGUAAUCCCAUCACUUUGGCAGGCCGAGGCGGGUGGAUCACCUGAGGUCAGGAGUUUGAGACCAGCCUGACCAAUGUGGUGAAACGCCAUCUCUACUAAAAAUACAAAAAUUAGCUGGGUGUGAUGGUGCACACCUGUAAUCCAGCUACUCGGGAGGCUGAGACAGGAGAAUUGCUUGAACCUGGGAGGCAGAGGUUGCAGUGAGCCAAGAUCACCCCACUGCAUUCCAGGUUGGGCAACAGAGCAAGACUCUGUCUCAAAAAAAAAAGAAGAAAGAAAGAAAUUGAUCCCUCAUAAUAGGCUGUAUAGCAGAUUCUACUGCAAAGGCUAUGGUUGCACAACAGACUUCUUUGAAUUUGCUUGCUAAACUUUUACUGGAUAAUACUGGGAUUACAGGUGUGAGCCACUGUGCCCAGCCUCUCCUGUUUAACUGUAUUCAUUCUAAUGUUUACUUACUUCUUUAAUUUGUAAAAUUGGGUCACUUAGAGUUUUUUUAGCCUAUCUUGCCAUUUAGCCACUGUUACUGAUAAUUUGGAUGGAAAAGAAAAAUAAAUUAUAUCACCUCUCAUCUUCAGUGUAUAUAUGUGUUAACUUAGUAAAUAUAGUAUUCUUUCUCGUUCCUAAUGAAAAUUUAGUUUACGUACUGAAACACUGCAAACUUUUAUAAAUAUUGUGAUGUAUUUGACCAAUACAAAGGAUCUUUUUAGAAACAGCAAACAGUUCUCAGAUUAUAGGAAUUACUCAUUUAAUGAUAGUUUCUUCUUAAAAAAAAAAAAGAAAAAUGUUUAGUUACCGAAUCAUAAACAACCCCUUAAAAGACACUCAGAUAAUCUCAUGGGUCAGG
rnacentral:lncRNA from 1 species